rnacentral:rRNA from 1 species
AGCAGCCGCGGUAAUUCCAGCUCCAAUAGCGUAUAUUAAAGUUGUUGCAGUUAAAAAGCUCGUAGUUGAAUUUCGGGAUCAGUACGCUGGUCGUGCCUUUGGUAUGUACUGGUGUCACUGAUUCCUCCCUUCUGAAGAACCGUUAUGCCAUUUAUUUGGUGUGGCGGGGAAUCAGGACUGUUACUUUGAAAAAAAUUAGAGUGUUUAAAGCAGGCUCGCGCUUGAAUACAUUAGCAUGGAAUAAUGAAAUAGGACGUUUGAUUCUAUUUUGUUGGUUUCUAGGAUCGACGUAAUGAUUAAUAGGGAUAGUUGGGGGCAUUAGUAUUCAAUUGUCAGAGGUGAAAUUCUUGGAUUUAUUGAAGACUAACUACUGCGAAAGCAUUUGCCAAGGAUGUUUUCAUUAAUCAAGAACGAAAGUUAGGGGAUCGAAGACGAUCAGAUACCGUCGUAGUCUUAACCAUAAACUAUGCCGACUAGGGAUCGGAUGAUGUUAAUUUUUUAAUGUA